CUCCAGUUCGGGACGCCAUUGGUCUGGAGCUUGUCAGUCUGUGGCGCGCCGAGGCUCGUGAACGCGCCGCGCAGACAGUGCACGACACGCGAGUGGCCAGAGAGUGUCUGGAGUCUGUCUGAAACUGAUAAAAAUGGUGAUGGAGUUCAUCCAGAGUCUCGCUCACAGUCAUUAGAAAAACAAAGGGAGACAGAGCGGAAUUAUACAAUCCUCCAACACUGUAGUCCGAUCGUAGCUUGAAAACUAGAUUCUGUUGUAGCGCAUUUCAAAGUUUUAUUCCAUGUUUUUCACCAGACAGACAGUUCAUUAAUUCACAGGCAGGAGGAUAACAUUUGUGCAGUCUCCUGAUGACCUCUCGGAGCUGUCACAGAUGCAGCUACACUUAAAGGUGAUACCUGUGUUCAGCGGUUGUGCUGCCGUGCUGCCGGAUAGUGAAGAGGAACAGAGCUGAUGUGCCUGCAGAGAUGAUACAGGUAGCAAUAAUAAUAGUGAUUGUAUGUAUAUCUCUUUUUACUGUUAUUCUCUCCCUCACUUUCUAUAAAGUACUUGAUCUCUGCUCUUACUUUCUUUCUCUCACUAUUUCCACCAUCACUGAAGCAGAACAGAGUUGUGCCUUUUUAUCCUCCUUCAAUACAGAUAUAUAGGAAAUUUGUAAAAAUCAGUAUAAUAUUAACUGUUUUUUGCUUAAGCUGAUGUUACAAUAAGUUAUAGUUCUUUUGACAAGUUGCCCAAAUGAUCAACACUGUGAUAAAACAAUGUUAGAAUUGUUCUUAAUGUCAGAUUUAAUCUGUUUGUUCAAGCUUGUUUAAUUUGACAAAUGUCUUCUUUAAAUAUAUAUCACUUGUCAUUUUAAUAAAUGAAAUCUUUAUGUAUUAUCCGGAUAAAUAUAUCAAGAUAUAAUUGAGCCUCAAGUUUGAUAACUGUGUAUUUUUUCCUUUUAUUAUUUCUUAAAGGCUCAUCCAUUUGCUGCAGAAAUACAGCUUUUCUUAAUAAGCACAACUCACCAUCAUUUUAGAUGCACUCUACUGAUUUUAUUAUUUACAUUUAUAAUGAGUGCUUGUAGUGUAUGCUCAAUUGUAAAAAAGGAAAUCCACAGGCAUUUAGUUUUUGAUUUUUAUGUGCAUUAAAACUAAGUUUAAACAUGUACUGACAUGUUUUUUAUAUCAGGAAGGAGCUAGCAUACACACAUCAAUCGCUUAAUAUUUGUAGACCUUUAAACUGAAUAGAAUAUGUUAAAUGGUUAUUUUGUCCUGCUCAUGGUUAGUUGGAGUCACGGCCAAUUAUGUCUCCAAAUGUUGUACAGUAUAAGGUCAAAAGUCGCUGUGCUGUAUUAGAAAGAUGACAGUAACCAUUCCGGAAAGGUCAGCCACUCAGUUUGUUUCCAAAGCGAAGAGCCACAAUGACGCUUUUGAGCUUUUGAUUAACUUUAUAUUAGAUUGAAUUAAUGAUAUGUCUCCCUGUUUGAUGACAGAAGUAAACAGAAGAACAUCCAGAUCUUCUCAGUUGUCCAGUAAGAUUUUAAAUUUGCCCUGGUCUCAUUUGCAUUGAAGUCAGAUUUGAAAGUUUUUUUGUAAAUUGUA